GGGGCAUGAAGCGGCGUAUCGGUUUGAAAAACCGGCAUCGUGUUGCAACACCAACCCUU
rnacentral:tRNA from 1 species